GGUUCUUCUCCUCUCGCGGCGGAAACGAAGAAAGCCGGCUUAGGGCUCUUCCUCCGGCGGCCGGCCAAAGCUUUCCGAGGGGUUUUCUUCACCUCCUUAAGGUCGUAUUGUCGAGGGGAGCACGCGGGCACAAAAGGAUCACCGAGAUCUCAAGCUUUUCCCGAAACCCUAGCAAUCUUUCUUCUCGGUUGUAAGUCCAAGCAAUCAAGGGGCUUCCUUGUGCCGAACUUGAUUCAUGCUAGGGCUGGAUUGUAUUCCAUGCUGUGCCGAAUUGGGAGAAUGGAUUUGGGUUUUAAGAUGGCUGUUCGGACCCCUGAAUUGUGCCACAGUGACUAUGCCAAACCUCCUCUAAAGCAUUAGGAUGCUGAAUUUUUAUGUCAAGGAUAAAGGAAAAGCUAAGAUAUGAAGGGAGGCGACAGGGUGGUGGUGAUGAUGGAUGUGUG